rnacentral:rRNA from 1 species
AUUAGCUAGUUGGCGGGGUAACGGCCCACCAAGGCUACGAUGAUUAGCUGGUCUGAGAGGAUGAUCAGCCACACUGGGACUGAGAUACGGCCCAGACUCCUACGGGAGGCAGCAGUGAGGAAUAUUGCACAAUGGGGGUAACCCUGAUGCAGCAACGCCGCGUGUACGACGAAUCAGUUUAUCUGUGUAAAGUACUGUUAACCGGGACGAAAAGACGUAUGAUCUACGUUUAUAUGACGGUACCGGUAGAGGAAGCUCCGGCUAACUCCGUGCCAGCAGCCGCGGUAAUACGGGGGGAGCUAGCGUUGUCCGGAAUCAUUGGGCGUAAAGGGCAUGUAGGUGGGACUUUAAGUCAAUUGUUAAAUCGUACGGCUUAACCGUAUACUGCAGUUGAUACUGGAGUUCUUGAGUGUGAGAGGGGACAGAGGAAUACCUGGUGUAGCGGUGGAAUGCGUAGAUAUUAGGUAGAACACUUGAGGCGAAGGCGUCUGUCUGGCUCAUCACUGACACUGAAAUGCGAAAGUAUGGGGAGCAAACAGGAUUAGAUACCCUGGUAGUCCAUACUGUAAACGAUGGUACUAGGUGUCGGGGGGACUAGCCCUCUCGGUGCCGCAGCAAACGCGUUAA